rnacentral:rRNA from 1 species
AUGGCGCGCCGGGGAUGCAGCUGCUGGAGGAUGCCUGUCUGGAGGGUGCGACACAUCAGCCUCCCAAGUGUGUCCACCGCGAGCACGAAGAGCUGCGGGGAGGUGGAAUCGCCCUGUCUCAGUCCGCGGCGAUGCCAGAUUGGCGGGCCGGGAACACCGUUGAGCAUGACACGGGUGCUCGCCGAGGACAGCAAGAUGGCUAGCCACUUCCUGAACCUGUCCCCAAACCCAUACUGGCGUAGCACCUCAAAGCGGAAGGGCCAGGAGAUGGAGUCGAAGGCGCGCGAGGUCGAGCUUGAGCAUGAUCCUGGGCGUGCCAAGUUGAUGCAGCAUAUUGAGGGAUUGCCAGACAAGAACGAAGUUGUCUUGGAGGCUACGUCCGGCAAUGAACGCGUUUUGGUUGCGACUGACAUGGGUGUCGAGCUUUGGGGCGAGGCACAAUGA